UGGUGGAGUGAUUUGUCUGGUUAAUUCCGUUAACGGACGAGACCGCCGCCUGCUAAAUAGUUCUACCAAUGGUUUUUCAUUGGUAAGAGCUUCUUAGAGGGACGUUCAUUCUACAAGAUGAAGGAAGAUGGCGGCAAUAACA
rnacentral:rRNA from 1 species